rnacentral:misc_RNA from 1 species
GAUGAAGAACGUAGUGAAAUGCGAUAAGUAAUGUGAAUUGCAGAAUUCAGUGAAUCAUCGAAUCUUUGAACGCACAUUGCGCCCCCUGGUAUUCCGGGGGGCAUGCCUGUUCGAGCGUCAUUUCACCACUCAAGCCUCGCUUGGUAUUGGGCAUCGCGGUCCGCCGCGUGCCUCAAAUCGACCGGCUGGGUCUUCUGUCCCCUAAGCGUUGUGGAAACUAUUCGCUAAAGGGUGUUCGGGAGGCUACGCCGUAAAACAACCCCAUUUCUAAGGUUGACCUCGGAUCAGGUAGGGAUACCCGCUGAACUUAAGCAUAUCAAUAAGCGGAGGA